CCCAUCGCAAAAAAUCCCUCGAGAAGCAGUAAACCUAGGCGACGGCGGCGCGCCAAGCAGGCGGACGAUGACAUCUCAACGGAGGCCCUCUUGCUGGGUGCCUGGGUUCCUGCCCAUGGAUCUUCGUCGUCGCGCUGAUGGCGGCCGGUCGCUGACGAAGGAAAUGGAACCCAAUGAAGGGAUCCUGAAAGUCCAUGGUACACACAUGUCAGCAACAUUUCUUUGGAAAAAUCACAUAAAAAGGGUCCCAAGAUGUAGUCCACCGAGACAGUAGAAUUGUUCUUAUCUGAUAGACCUUGUCAUCAGCAAAAAAAGGUGUUUUGUGAAUGGAAGCAGUGGGUUGAAGUUUAUCUGGAGCAGGGCAUUGUGGCACACCGUGCACUGUCCUAUUCAUCAUUUCAGAGGGUGCCAUCUUGAUGUCUGCAUUCACCCACACCGCCUACUUUAUCUUAGAUCUCCAAUGAAUUGGUAUACUCCAUAUAUUACUGAUGUCCACAGUUUGGCGAAUUUUGAAAAAUGUUAAGCUGCACUCCUGUAAUCUAGCGUUUUCCUAUAUUAUAUCGGUAAUAUAUGUGAACAUGUUUAAUAGUUGGGCAAAAAGUUUCAGUUGAUUGUAACUGCUUCAUCGUAGAAAUAAACAUGCAUAUAUAUGCUACUUCAA